rnacentral:rRNA from 1 species
GAUGAACGCUGACAGAAUGCUUAACACAUGCAAGUCGAUGGGGAAGUGGUGCUUGCACCAUGGUAACCAUGGCGGACGGGUGAGUAACGCGUAAGGAACUUACCUGCGUGACCGGGAUAACAGCAGGAAACUGCUGACAAGACCGGAUAAGGUCAUUAAGCUGCAUAGCUUAGUGAUGAAAGGAGACGCCUGCGGAGAGCCUUGCGUCCUAUUAGCUAGUUGGAGGGGUAACGGCCCACCAAGGCGAAGAUAGGUAGCCGGCCUGAGAGGGUGGACGGCCACAAGGGGACUGAGAUACGGCCCUUACUCCUACGGGAGGCAGCAGUGGGGAAUAUUGGACAAUGGGGGCAACACUGAUGCAGCAAUUCUGUGUGCACGAAGACGGUUUUCGGAUUGUAAAGUGCUUUAAGCAGGGAAGAAGGAAGUGACGGUACCUGCAGAAGAAGCGACGGCUAAAUACGUG